CCAGCAAAGGAUCCAGCUUGAAAUAACACGGUGCUAAGCAUGGAUUUUUCCACCGAAUGAGGAAAUUCUAAUUCUAAUUGUUAGUCUCUUUAUCAAUGACGCCAAGUGGCAAGGAACAUCACCAUCUUUGGAGACCUAGUGGUGGAGUUAAACUACUACAGGGAAACAACUUUACGUAUAGAGGAGUUGAGCUUCCUAGAGGAAAAGAAGGAAAAUCAUUCCUAAUGGAAGAUCAACUAUUCAAGAAAGAAAGAAGAGCAAUGAGAAAGGUAAA
rnacentral:lncRNA from 10 species